ACCUCUCACACCCUCCUCGCCCUCCCCACCGACAUCAUGCUCCAGUUCCUGGUGAGUGGGGCCUCGGAGGAUCGGGCCUCGCGGUCGCCUCGUUCCCCCGGGGUCCCGGGUCGGCGGUGCACGGCUCUGCAGUUGGGGCUCGUCGCCCUCGGGUUUGCUCGCGCAGUUUUCCUCUGGCCUCCUCCUAAGUCCUUGGGUCUUUGCCUGGGUUUGUUUAUAUGUAGUCCUUCAAGUUCCGAAAACUUUGGGGUGUCAGUGAUAUGACUGCGUUUUCAAAAAACCACUUACUGUGAGCUCUUGGCGAAAUCUUCGCACUUGGAUUUACUUUGGGCAACGUGGUUGGAAUGUAUCUGGCUCAGAACUAUGAAAUGCCAAACCUGGCUAAAAAACUUGAAGAGAUUAAGAAGGACCUGGAAGCCAAGAAGAAGCCCCCUAGUUCCUGAUGCCUGCCUGGCACUGCAAUCUGGACCCACCAGUUCCAUCCUGGGGGGCCUGUCUCCUUCACAGCCACGUCCAAAGCUGUGUUCCUCUUUGGUCUCAGACCCUGCGCGUUGCUGAGGCUCCAGCACGGGCCAGAAGUGGAGUUAGCUUUCCGUUUCCAGCAUCUCCCCGUUCCCGUAUCUUCCGUCCACCUGCUUCUGAGACCUAAGCCUGGAACCAUGGUGCUAGGUUAGCAGCCGCAACCAUGACAGGACUCACUCGCCUGUGCUCUGGGAUUCCUACCGCCUACUGUCAAGAAAUGAAUGGAUUUGGAUAGCUGCUGGGGACUCACUGUCUAGCAGUGAUAACAGGAGCUUGCUAGACAAACUAAACUGUGUUAAAGUCAUUAAAGUCAGUAUCUUCAAGCCAGUUUCUGGUGAAUUAAUCCAUUUAUUAUAUAUUGUUACCAAGGAGCUCCAUGGUUGAUGAUUUAACCAGUAAAUCAUUUGCUGGUCAUUAACCAGGAAACUAUUUUAUGCAUUCUAUAAAAAGCAAACAAACUGGGAAAACUUAAAACAUGCAAAGUAACUGUUGUCUUCGUACAGUUCAGUCUAUGCAGUCUAUGUUUUUCCUUAAUGAUAUAUUUGAACUGAAUCUGCCGUAAAAGAGCCAUUCUUUAUGCUGGCACUUGAUAGGAUGGGUGGAUAAAUGAGGAGCUGUUGAUAAAAUAAUGUUACUUUUUUUUUUUUAAACAUUAAAAUGUAUCCUAAUUAUAUAACUUCAUAGUGAACCCCCUAAGAGAAGUGUGGUGC
ensembl:lincRNA 1810058I24Rik RIKEN cDNA 1810058I24 gene